UACGGAGGGUGCAAGCGUUAUCCGGAUUCACUGGGUUUAAAGGGUGCGUAGGUGGGAAUGUAAGUCAGUGGUGAAAUCUCUGAGCUUAACUCGGAAACUGCCAUUGAUACUAUGUUUCUUGAAUAUUCUGGAGGUUAGCGGAAUAUGUCAUGUAGCGGUGAAAUGCUUAGAUAUGACAUAGAACACCGAUAGCGGAGGCAGCUUGCUACACAGUCAUUGACACUGAGGCACGAAAGCGUGGGGAUCGAAACAAGGAGUUAGU
rnacentral:rRNA from 1 species